CACCCUCAAUCUGCCUCGGUUUCGGCUUCGGCUUCGGCUUCGGCUCCCGCUCCGCCCGAUCGCCAGUCGCCCGAGACCCCACCCCCACCCCGCGUGCGGAGCCCCCUCCUCCCACCCCAAAGCCGGGGCCAGCCGCGCAGCGCGAGCGGGGGCGCGCGGACCGACUGACGCGCGCUGGCCAGCGGGAGCAGCACACUCACACCCAGUCCCCUUAAACACGCAGGCGCGUAGCUGCCCCCGCCAGGCGGGGAUGCCGGAGGAGUCCCCGCGGCCUCCCGCCGCUCUCCCCAAGGGGUCAAGCUGGGGCCAAUCCCAAGCUUGCUUUCUAUCCCCCUCUUACCGCACCCUCCCUUUUCUAGCUCCUCCGACUCCUCUCUCGAUCGGGAGCCACGCCUCCCAAGCUCCAGAUGAUUGUGGGUCCAGGAAGAGGCCCUGAUUUGAGACUGGAGAAUUAAUGUGAAGACCCAGUAGAAGAAAUGAACAGAGAAGUUGCUUAUCCAAGUCAAAAUAUCAGAAGCAAAAACAAGGAAAUCAGAAGCCAAUAGAACUGAGAAGCCAACAGAAGGAAAGUUUGGUGAGACCUGAUGACUUAGACCAGUUUGGCACUUAUAUAUAGAGAACUGAUCUGAUUGGAGAAAAUAUUUGAUAUUGGGAACUGAUUAGAGAAAGCAGAAUCUUCUACAGUGUGUAUGGCUCAAUGUGAAGAAUCCUCUCAAAGCCCACAUAGCAGCCUUAAAUGAAUAGCUCUGCAAAUCCAAGCCUCAAGGGCACUGCUUCACCAUAAGAGUGUCCUGGUGUCAAGCAAAGGGAAUAUCCCUGGAAAGCUUCGUACUUCUCAGGCUUAUAGUUGCUAUUUGCUAGCUAAAUACUGCUCCAGCUGCCUGAGAAUACUAGAAAAGAUGAUUCGUCCAGCAGGAGUGGAGAGGCUUAGUUAGGAAAGGAGUGAUUUUACCUUCAGGAGGUGAUUUAUAGUGCUAUUUCACAAUACACAAGGACACAAGGCCUGCAGUCCAAAGUUGUAAGUUGCUCUGGGUACAUGGGUUUCCCUAUUCAUUUUAUAGUUCACUGCUAAAUUCUGGGAGUUUCAAUUACACCAAGAUUUUAAUUUGCUUUAAUUAUUCUUUGAAUGUUUUAUGGAAUUCACUUGUAAAUCCAUCAGGUUCUAGAGUGUUUUUCUUUUGUAGCUCAUUUAUCUCUUGUUCAGUUUCUUUUUCUGAUAUUAGGCUAUUUAAAAUACCACUUAAGUUUUAUUAACCUGGGUAUUUUAUAUUUUUUUCAAAUUUCUAUCCAUUCCAUCUAAAUUUUUAGUUUUGUUGGGAUAUAAUUGAAAGAAAUAUUUUCUCAGAGCUGUUUUUAUUUCUUCAACCCUUAUACUUUUUUUUCAUUUUUUUACUCAAAAAUUUGAUUUUUUGCUUUUUAAAGACUUUGUUAGUUUU
rnacentral:lncRNA from 1 species